AUACGUAGGUGGCAAGCGUUGUCCGGAAUUAUUGGGCGUAAAGCGCGCGCAGGCGGUCCUUUAAGUCUGAUGUGAAAGCCCACGGCUCAACCGUGGAGGGUCAUUGGAAACUGGGGGACUUGAGUGCAGAAGAGGAAAGUGGAAUUCCACGUGUAGCGGUGAAAUGCGUAGAGAUUUGGAGGAACACCAGUGGCGAAGGCGACUUUCUGGUCUGUAACUGACGCUGAGGCGCGAAAGCGUGGGGAGCAAACAGGAUUAGAUACCCUGGUAGUCCACGCCGUAAACGAUGAGUGCUAAGUGUUAGGGGGUUUCCGCCCCUUAGUGCUGCAGCUAACGCAUUAAGCACUCCGCCUGGGGAGUACGGUCGCAAGACUGAAACUCAAAUGAAUUGACGGGG
rnacentral:rRNA from 1 species